ensembl:lncRNA
CAGGAAGAAGACCAUGUGAAGCCUGCAACGACUGAAACGAAUGGCAUGUUCUCUUUCAUGUUUCUGUCUUUCACUUUGCAUCCUGUGCCAAAGUGGGCAGGGAGAAAGAGCUCGUGGUGAGGUGGGUGAAACGGAGGCCGCUGUACGUGCUCUUUCUUCAGCCACAACCCCGUGGAAGAGCAUGUUUGGUGGUAGCACGUUUCUAGGUCUCUCUCCCCGAGAUAGGCGUAGUAUGUGCAUAAGUCUACUCUUCUCGCCGCCAUGACCCUGCCUUGUGUUCUUUGAUGUUGAAGCCUCUAGUCUGCAGGUAUUCCAUUUUUUUCUCGCUUACGUACUUUGGAAUAUCUUUGGUUACUUUUUAAGAAAUUCUCUUAAAGCAUCAUUGUCGAUUCUUUUACCCAGCAGCUCUGGCUCUCUUGUUCACUGUUGUCUUCCUCUUGUAAACGUGUCUGCUUCACCCCUGAGUCCAUGCCUCGGAUUCCGCCAUUUCUACUACACUAAACAAUUUUCGGACAAAUCAGUUGUUUAUUUACAUUUGAUAAAUGUUUUUAGGCUCGAAGCUAUUAUUUUAAAAAAGGGGGGGGGAGUAUUGUUGUUAUUAUUUAAAAAAAAAAAGAAGUUCUUUUCACAAUUAGGUACGCGAUCCUUCAGAAAGCAUGUAUGUUCUUUUAGUUUUUGUUCAUUUUGUGCAUUUGAUUGUAGGGUUUGAGUUUGUUUAAGGAUUUGAAUGCAUUUGAACAUCCAAAUAGAGUUUAGGUGCUGCCUUAAUGUUUUUAAAGGGAAAUUAACAGUGAUGUAUUUGGAUAUGAUGCUUAUGUUUCAUGAAUGCCCUAUAAAUUCCCAUUAUGUAAAAGUUCUGUACAAAGAUCUUACGGUCAGUUUUGUAUUUUAUAUUUCUAUAAAAAGAAGGUGAAGUUAGGACUCAGCUGGUAGAAAUAGUACAUUUAAGAAAGCAUAAAUUUAGUUCAUCUUGCAUAUACGAGAGCAUUCAGUCACUUGUUUGGCAUUGGUAGAUAUGAUCAAAGGACUUCUUUUUCUAUUCAGCAGGUAUUCUUUUUAAAAUGUAGGCUUGUGCUGUUUGUAUUUGACUGCCCCCCCACCCCCCAAUUGCAAAUUACAUGAGAGAAAAAAGAGUGGGGCUAGCUUGGGAAAGAAAAUAAUUAAAUAAAAUAAUUCACUAUAUUACAUUUGUCACACAGGAGUAACUGAACAAAAUACAGAUCAAAUAUUACAGACAGAACACAAUUUUGUGCCUUUUUGUCAAAUUCACAGUAAAUUCCUUUAAAACGGGGCGAACAAUCAACGAGAUCUGGUUUCCUUGGAAAAGAGGUGGUGACAUCUUUUUUGUUACAAGGCUACUAUAACUUGGACGAAAUGGCAGCAAAUGACCACUGAAAUUGAAAAUGCAUUGAUGAAUUUGAUUUGAUUUAAAUCUAAUUUACGUCCUUAAAAAAUUACAAAGAAAAGCUCUCAAGAUGGCGUCGACAUGCCACGUGUUUGUGUAUUACUGUACUAAGUUUAUUUUACUUGAAGGGAUUUUUAAUGCAGUUUUUUUUUUUUUAAGUACCUUUUUUAUAAACAAAUCCUUAUUUAACAGCAGAUCGGCUCUUCACAAGCAAACAAAAGCGGAAAAGCUGAAAACGGUGCUGUUAAAUUGAAAUAACACAUGAUGUGCUGAUGUUUGUUGAUUUGGCUGUAGCGCAAGGAUUUUUCUUGGAUUAUGUUCUUUUUUGUGCUUUAUAAAUUGUCAGCAUAAGCAAGGAGGGCAGGCAAUUUACUGCUUUGUAAGGUAUAACCGAAAGACUCACCAAAGAGGCACAAAAGUUUGUGUAUACAUGUUUAUUUUGUUCAGAGACAGAGAGAGAUGGCAACAGGAAAAAAGUGGAGCGAGGGAGGGAGGAAAGGAGAGCAUUUCCUCCACCCCCUGUUCUCCUCAGAUGAACUUAUCAUGUAGCAUCAUAUUUUCUCUCUCUCCCUCCCUUUUUUUCCCCCUUUCCCAUACAGCCCCGCUCCCUCCUACAUUUACUGUAGCUGACAAUCAGAUGCACUCUGGGCUCCGACCCCACAUUAGCAAACAGGAAGUUUCAAAACAAACAGAGUUUAACCCUAAAAAUACUUAGAUUUCACUGCAUACACAAUCAAAUCUACAACCUCAUGCUAAAAUAGACAGAAUCCAACACCAGUUUUGUAAUCCCAGAGUAUUUUGACUUCAAACUGAAAGUUUUAUUUGGAUGAAGUGUUUAUACCGAAAGCAGAAAAUUCACUGCAGGUGAGAAAACACUGCUGUUUGCCCUGCAAACGCGCAGACACGCAACAUAUUCUCGCAGCCUAUUAGUCACAUGGCCCCAGAUGGGGGCAGAGAUCUAACUCUAAUCUGCAAGUUCUUUGUAUAAAUAAGGCAAGGCAGAAUCCUUAUCGUCGAGUUUCGAUGAGUAACAGCAGGCUCUCCGGAGACCGCGUGACAGAGUCGACCAAGGUCAAGCCAAGCCCAACUUCCUGUUUUUUGGGGACUGCUAUUUUUGCUUUAAGGGCGUUUCUCUCUGGUGUAGGUUGAUGACAGGAGAUCAUAUGCAGAAUGAUUAAUGACAUUUUUGAAGAGUUAUAGCUUUCUAUGGCUUAACUAUUUUAAGCAGUGGCAAAGCUGUGUGGAAGGAAAAAACUGAGGAAUAAUGUCACAGGUACAGUAAAUGGAACAGGAAGAAAAGUUUAGCUAAAUGUUGUUUGGGGAAAUAUUAUGCUAUAUAUUGUGUACAAUGAUUCAUACCAAAAAAAUAUGGCAUGUUUCACGUUAAGAAUCUUGUGCAACAGUUGUACUAAAAGCUAAUUUGCGAGUAAUAUGUUGCGAGUAACUCACCACUGGUGGGAAUGCUGAUCUACUGCUGUUCAAACAAAAGAUUACAGAUGCUAGUAAAAAUUUAAAUUAUCUAUUGUUUGUUCAUACCGUAUCACAUAGUUUCCUUAUUCAUGAGACAUGUUUC